rnacentral:tRNA from 1 species
UAGAAGAUAAGCUAAAUUAAGCUAUUGGGCUCAUAAUUCAAUCAUAAAAAUAUAAAUUUUUUUCUUCUAA